rnacentral:lncRNA from 1 species
UUCUUUCUGCACACUAAAGAUGCGCGGGCACUCACCCACACACUUAUAAAGCAUCAUUUGAUAUUUGUUGCUGCAAGGACAAGUGGAUCAAAUGCUAGAUUUGUCUGAGACAUCACUCUCUACAUGGCAUGCCGAACUCAAAGCUUGUGGCUACCGGAAAGCAUGCCUCCAUGAAUUCACGGAUCUCAUAGUAGGAAUUGAUGCAAUGAAGAGGGAGGGUGGAAGACAAGAACAGGCCAACGGAAAUAUUCUUUUCAUGGCCCCACCGCAUUCAAUCGACAUGAAAUGAAUGGAAUCAGCUGAUGCUUUAGGGAGAGGAGGGGCGGGUCCUUCCUCCUGCUCCUCCUUCUCCCUCCUUCAUCCUCAUCAGCUCACCUGAUCUUUACCGUGGAUGUCAAAAAAGGCAAUGGCGGAAACUUCAUGUCGAGCGAGACUAACGAACCAUCAUGAUAACUCUCCUCCACUUUUAUUGUGCAUCAAGCUCCUCCUGCAUUUAUAAUAAUUAAGUUGGUGGAAGAAACUUCUGACACGUGUGUUUGAUGUUUCCUUCAUUUCAUUUAGUUGGUGGGAGAAACUUCCUUAACAGAUAUAGCUGAUAUCGAUCACCACACUGAUUGCUUGCAAAAGUUGGCAAAAAAUUUCAAGCUUCUACUAACCCAAAUGUGCAUCUCAUCUAACCCGUUUCGGUGAGACCUCCUACUGUUCAAAUUAGGUAGCCGAGUUAACUUCAAUGACAGCAUCUUGAAGUGUCACGAAGAAUCCAAAUCACGAGAGGAGCGGCGAUGAGAGAGAAGGGUGAACACGAUUGAUACAGAAAAGGACAAAGAAAAGCAGACGAAUGAUGGAAGAAGGGGGAAGGGGAGUGGCGUCUGAGGAACAGCGGAUCCCUCGAGAUCCGAUUCCCACCGCCGGGCCAAAUAGUCAAAAAGGAAAGGGGGGCACUGCACUGCACUGCACUGCACCACACGGCACUGCACUGCACUGCACUGCACUGCACUGCACAGGAGGGUGCGUGAAACACGUUAGCUGAAAGAGAAGCAUCACUCGACGGCCUGCACAGUGAACAGGAGGGAGGGAGGGAGAUACACGAUGCACGCACCAUCUCAUGUACCGACUCCAUAGCUGCCGCGACGACAAAUCCUUUCGCCCUUUGCUUCACCUGACACGUGCGGGAUGAGCACGAUGGCCCCAACCCAUGAGAAGGAAUACCUGUAACGGAGACGUAUCGCUGGAACGGUUGCAGUUGGUAGGUAGCGGGACAUCGCCACAAAGCGGAGGGUCGGGGAGGAUGAGUGGCUGUGACGUCCGCCCUCAAUGCGGAUACUGGGAUGGAUGGAUGAGUUGAAGAAUGAGGAGGAGGAGGAGGUGUCUUUGUUGAGGACAAGGAUGCUCUCUCUGCCUUGAUACGUGUAACGGCGAGGUGGGGGACGACGGCCGGUGCCCAAGGAGGAGGGCUUGCCUUUUGGGGAGGACGGAGCAGCUUGCUCC